GAUGAAGAACGCAGCGAAAUGCGAUAAGUAAUGUGAAUUGCAGAAUUCAGUGAAUCAUCGAAUCUUUGAACGCACAUUGCGCCCGCCAGCACUCUGGCGGGCAUGCCUGUUCGAGCGUCAUUUCAACCAUCAAGCCCCCAGGGGCUUGAGCUGGGGCCCUGCGGCUGCCCGCAGGCCCUGAAAACCAGUGGCGGGCUCGCUAGUCACACCGAGCGCAGUAGCACAUCUCGCUCAGGGCGUGCGGCGGGCUCCUGCCGUGAAACCCCCCACUGUAACCCCAAAGGUUGACCUCGGAUCAGGUAGGAAUACCCGCUGAACUUAAGCAUAUCAAUAAGCGGAGGA
rnacentral:misc_RNA from 1 species